rnacentral:rRNA from 1 species
UACAGAGGUCUCAAGCGUUGUUCGGAUUCAUUGGGCGUAAAGGGCGCGUAGGCGGCGCAACAAGUCACUUGUGAAAUCUCCGGGCUUAACCCGGAGCGGCCAAGUGAUACUGUCGUGCUAGAGUGCGGAAGGGGCUACUGGAAUUCUCGGUGUAGCGGUGAAAUGCGUAGAUAUCGAGAGGAACACCUGCGGCGAAGGCGGGUAGCUGGGCCGACACUGACGCUGAGGCGCGAAAGCCAGGGGAGAGAACGGG